ACUCCAGUGUCAAUUUAUUUAUAUAGCACAUUUAAAACAACAUAGUAAUGCUGUGGCCAAAGUGCUUUACAAUAAUAGAAUAAAAGAAAAACAAAACAAAUUAACAUAAAACAUAAAUAGAAAUAAAAUAUAUGAACAUAAAAUAAAAUACAUAAUAAAUAGAAGUAAUGUUAUAUACAUAAAAAAUAGAAGUAAUGUUAUAUAAUCACAAAGAGGAAACCAUCAGUAUUACUGAAGGUCAUGGAAUGCAAGUGAAUAGAAAUGAGUCUUUAGUCUUGUUUUGAACAGUUCAAUUGUAGACGACUCCUUUAUGUGAUGAGGUAAAGCGUUCCUCAGGCGAGGCACAGCAGCUGCAAAAGCCCUGUCCCCCUUAGUUUUACACUUGGUACGAGGGACAAAAAGAGACAGCUGACCAGAAGAUCUAAACACUCUAGAUGGCUGAUGUAAAACACAAAGUUCAGAUAAAUAGGCAGAAGCAAGCCCAUGUAAAGAUUUAAAAACUAGCAGCAAGAUUUUAAAAUCAAUUCGAAAACUGACAGGCAGCCAGUGUAAAGAAGCUAAUAUUGGAGAAACAGAGUCAUACUUUCUUGCCCCAACCAGAAAGCGAGCGACAGCAUUUUGGACCAACUAUAACCUGUGUAUCAGGGAUUUAUUAAUCCCAGAAUACAGCGAGUUGUAGUAAUCAAAGCGAGAAAAAAUAAAUGUAUGAGUAGCUAUCUCAAGAUCCCUAGAAGAUAAAAAAGGCUUUAUCUUACCUAAUAGACGAAGUUGGAAAAAGCAACUCUUGACUACAGAAUUUACUUGUUUCUCAAAAGAGAGGUUACUAUCAAAGGUAACACCAAGAUUGCGGACUUGAGGUUUGGAAAAGACAGAGAAAGAGCCGAGAAGUCCAAGACCAAUUUGGGCUGAUGGACCCACUAUAAGCACCUCCGUUUUAUUUUGAUUUAGAUCAAGAAAAUUAUUAGCCAUCCAGGAUCUUAGUUCAGACAGACAGUUGUAGAGUUGAUUUGUUGUAGAGUUGCAGACAGGAAUAUAAAUCUGAGUAUCAUCAGCAUAGCAGUGAAAAGAAAUGUUAAAUUUCCUAAAAAUAGCUCCAAUAAGGUGAAGGUAUAUGGAGAAUAAAAUAGGACCCAAAAUGGAUCCCUGAGGAACACCAUAUUUAAGAGGAGCAGUAGAAGAAGAAGAUGAAUUAAAAGUCACUGAAAGUGUCUACCAGUUAAAUAUGACCUGAACCAGUUAAGAGCAGCCCCUUUAAGCCCAACAAGGUGUUCAAGCUGCAAUAGCAAUAUCCAUCCAUCCAUUAUCCAACCCGCUGAAUCCAAACACAGGGUCACAGGGGUCCGCUGGAGCCAAUCCCAGCCAACACAGGGCACUGUUGGGAUAAACUGAAACAUAAAAACAAAGUUAAAACAUAGACUAGAGAGACGAGCAGACAGCCAGCCACACCAGUCGGCGCCAUCUUUAGAAAAUUCCAGUUUCCGUAUUACAUCUUGCCUGCAGAAGGGGUCUGAGUUGCCUCGAAAGCUUGCAUAUUGUAAUCUACUUAGCCAAUAAAGGUGUCAUUUUGCUUGACUUCUCACUACAUUCAUAAUGGCUAACAUGGUACAACACCCUAGUACUGUAUUACAUAAACAAAUUCUUAACUUUACAUGUCGUAUACUUUCACAGUACAGAAUAUUCUUAUCAUUUAAAAAUAUUAAAACAUAACAAAUAUUCAUUCAUCAGUUUGCUGAACCUACUUUUUCCAGUCCAAGGUGUGAGGCCACAUUAAGAAGUAAUUACUUGUGUAUGAGAUUUGUAAUUUUUAUAUGCUAUAUAAUUUUCAUAUCAUUUGAACUGCUGAAAUGUGGAGUGGUUUGCAGUGAUGGCAUACUCUGCUGUUACAAGACAACUUACUUUUUCUCAUUUUCGCAAAACCAUUAGGUUACCAUGGUAACUCGGUGCCAUAUUUGGAGUCGGUGAUGUGCAGUUCAGUAUCCUCAUGAUAACAUGUUUUCAUCAUGAGGUCUAAACUGAACACUGGACAAUUUCUGAACAAUACGUAAUGGCAAAUUAAACUUUUGCUGAUAUUCUUAAAAGGAAUGCCAGCUAAACCUUUUCACAGGUUUGCAAAACAUUUCAAGUUAUUUUUUUCUUUUUUCUAAUUUUUAUUGCUUUUAUGAAUUACAGUGAGUAAAUUACAAGUCAGUCAGACAUACAAUGCUAUUUCUUAUUCUAAUCAAAUCUGACCUCUGCUCCCCUGCCAUUCUUCUGGAGAGAAAGAAAUCAGAAGAUUUAAUAUGAAGUAAUCACUUGAAGAUAUUGAGGCAUCCUAAAGGUUAGCAGAGGUUCAGUAUUCUUAAUUAAUUAAAGACAGCUUAUAUGUCUGUCAAAUUCCAAAGCACGAGUUAUCAGUGGACAAAACACAUGAAAGUAUGACUGUACUACACAAGCAAAGGGAAACUAUUGAACAUUCUUUCACACACUCCACAGAAUACUGUUUUAUAACAUUGGGUUAAUUCUCCUUUCACCAUCUACUCUACUGGUGGCUCUGAGGCUAGGGAUCUGCCCUGGCAAUCGGAAGGUUGCCGGUUCGAAUCCCGUAAAUGCCAAAAGGGACUCUGCUCUGUUGGGCCCUUAAGCAAGGCCCUUAACCUGCAAUUGCUAAGCGCUUUGAGUAGUGAGAAAAGCGCUAUAUAAAUGCAAAAAAAAAAAAAAUAUUAUUUUAUUUAACGCCAAGCUCGAAAACAUUUUUCUAUGCUUUACACCUUACUUAUAUGUCUUAUAGCUAUUUUAACUAUUGUUAAAACUCACCACCUGCAUUACAUUUGAGUUGUUGCUUUUUAAAAGCACAGCCUAGAAGUAUAGUAUGGUGCUGAAGGGAUCCACACAGCCAUUGCAGCAAACAGGGACUGAGAGAGAAGAGGCCUCAACACAGUGCAUGUGAGCUGUAAAGCAAUGAUGUAUCAAGUGAAAGAUGGGGAGCAUUUAGUAAGGAGCAUAAUAAUAAAAAGGCUUAUUAUGCAAAGCUACAAAUAAACAGCUUCAUUCUGAACAGUGAAAGGGCUAAAAAGUGAUUACAAUGUAUUCCUAACUAUUGUUACCACAAAUCUGAAUAAUCUUAUGGUACAGUUUCUGAAUGAGGUGGUGGUUUGUUGGUGACAGGCUUCAUACUAAAGUUAUUUUACAUCACAAAUGCUAGGAAUAUGUAGCAAUUGAAAUGCAGUUUCUGCUGAGUGCAUAUCUUUUCACACUGUCAAUGCCUGCUAGAAAAAAAAGUGUCAGCAGUUCCCCUAUCAUCCUAAAGUACAACAUUCUAAAAUCUGUUCAGUCAAUACAAAUGAUUUUUUAAUACUGAUCCAAUAAAAUUGGAGUUUUAAACUACAGAGGGUUAAUGCAAUUUUUAAGAAAGUGACCUAAUCUUCAGGACUAAUAAAGCAAUACCAGUGCAUGCUUUAUUAUGUUGAGUUGUUUUGCCAUUGUGAAAAAAGGAUUAUUAGACAAUGAGCUAAAACAAUGAAAGCUGGACUUGCAGGUAAUAUUUAUCCCCAAAGUACAAAGACAAAUAUUUUUUUUUGUUUGUUUCUUACAAUGAACAAGAAAAGAAACAGCACUUUCCUACAAAGUGGUUAUAAUACAAGAAAUUCGUAUUAGACUUCAAAUUACAAACAAUAACUGAGUAAGCAUUAACUAGUAAGCACUCUCAGUGGUCCUUGAAGGAACAGUGGUGCAUCAUUUUUUAAAAGUUGAGUUAGCCCUACUAAUAUUAAUUAUUUACAAAUGUUGUGGUGAGCUUCAUACAUUAUUAAUUGAAAUUCAUUCCGUACUGCAAGAUUUAGAUUACAUUGCAUGUAUUUAGUACCUGCUACUCCUGAUCUGUGACUGCCUACCUGCAGUCUUUUUUUAAUUUAUUCUCGCCCAAAACUACAUGGCUAUCCAUGUGAAUCUUGCAGAGGAAACCACACUGAACUAGGGGCCAAUCCAAUCUUCUCUCAGGACUCACAGCAAGGAUGCUGCAUGUGCAUACAUUUUUACAUAGUCUUCAGGUGCAAGUAUAAUUUUUUUUACAUGGUUUUUAUCUUAAGCCUGAGACUAUAACGUAAGUUAGAUUGAAAUAGAAAGUUCACCUGUUUUGAAAAAGUAUAAAACUGUCUGGACAUGAAAAAUUAAUGUUCACAAGUCUCUAGUCAUAUCUCAUCAAUUUGGGAGGCACUGAAACUAUCAGUAUUUAAGGGUUUGCAUUUUACUAACCAAUCUGCUGUGCCACUAUGUUUUCAGAAACUCUUUUCACAUUGCCAGUUUAACGUCAUCAUACUAAACAAUCCAAAAUGUCAGUUAUUAUUAUAAAACAACUGAAUGGUAGUUUUAAAUUUCAAAUAAUUUUAUUAUACUUUUCAGAGUUACAAAUAAGAGGACAUUUUAGACUCGGAAGUCACAAGCUACCAAUCUAUGCGCUGCUGUAGUAGUACAGACUUCAUUUGCGUCUUCAUUUCUAUUAUAAUUGCUUUCAAAUCUAACUCCAUUCACGCUACACUUUGUGAUAGUCAGCCAACCUCGUUUAAACUGUAGACAAUGUGGGGGUUUUAAUUAAAUCAUCCACUUUUCUACUUAAAUAUACACUGCUUUCUCUAUAAUGUAUAAAUCAAAUUGAAGCCCAGGUCAAGGUAGACAUUUUCACACACCAGAUAAAAAGUGAGUUUCAAAUUACGUUGAAGAAAGCUUGGACACUCUCAUUCUCAUAAAAAAUGCAUAGAAUUGUUUCUUAGAGAAUUAGCCCGCAUAUCUGUUUUUAAGGUUUUACAAAAUUUUCUCAACAUUUAUUUCUAAAAUGAUAGAAGUGCAUGCCCACAUAGUACUUUAAGAAGAAAGUUGCAUUAUAUAGCUACUGGACCCAGUGCUGCUGUUAUUUAAGCUGGUGAAAAUGAAAACUGCAACAUCAUGAAGGCAUUAUCUGGACUCUACUACAUUUGUAUAAAAUAAAUAAUGAUAUACACAGGUUUUGUUGCAAAGAUGUCUAUAUGAAAUACUUUACAGUUGUCUUUAGUUAAAUUGCAUGGUUAAACUUGGAUCAAUGAA